GGGAGGAAGAGCGGUGGCCCGGGAAGAAGGAGGGAAGGAGAAGGCAGAGCCGUGAAACGCAGCGAGACGAGGACCGGCCGGCUGCCCUUCCCGGAGGCUUCGGGCGAGCUGGGGUUGAGACCGGCAGUGUGGGACCUCGCGGGCCCGCGUCCGCCCCAGCCCCGCGGCGCAGGCCUCCGCCUCGGCCGCCUCCGCCGCCUGGGUCUCGGGGCUGGGACCCCGCGCCCGGUGAGCCCACGACGGGCUGGGCUCAGACCUCAGUGCUGUCCCGUUGCUGAGGGAAGUAGCAGAGUGUGGAGACACUUAAACAUACCAGAGUCUCCCUAGUUCCCCUGUAAAAAAUGGACAUAAAGCAGUAUGGCAGAAGUUGUCUAAAGGACUUCCUGCUAGGACUUGAGCGUGGUUAAUGAGAUUCUUCGUGAGGAAAAACCCAAACACCAAAGAUCUGUCUUUUGCUGUGGAAAGCAACAGGAGCCAUUUGGUCUGGACGCAAUGUCAGACUUCAGUCAGGCAACAGGACCAUACAAAACUACCCAUAGAGGCAGAGGGUCGUGAGCAGCCAGUGAGAAACAUACUCAAAGUGCAUGUGUCUGUCCAUCUGUGGGUCAGACAUUGCACAGCCCUGAACCAGAGAGACGUCCCUUGAGUUUACCUACCACGAGCUCAGACUACCAGACUACCACCGAAGACUUCAUCUAACUGAGGAGUUUGAAGACCAUCACAUCUGGCUACAUUAACAGAGUAACAAUGUGGACAUUGCCUGCUCUAUUAGAAGAGGAAGCAGAGGAGGGGAAGGAAGGACAAAAACAACUUGGAGACAAUCUACUUUCCAUUUAACUGAUAUCCCCGAUAUCCCCGCCCUUCCCCCCCCCCCCACUUACCCCCAUUGAACUCACUUAGAGAUAGAGAAACCUGAAGGCCCAGCCCAAUUGGAGUAUCUUCCUAAUUAGGGUGAAAAUGGGCACAAUGAACCAUGAGGGGACUGAGGGGGCUUAUAUGGCAUCCAUGAAAGAAAAUCAACAAAUACAAAUUUCACAAAAUGAAAAUUAGCUUUGUAAAGUCUAGGUUGUGCUGGAUUGCUGGACUACUCUGCAAUUUUUAUGAACCUGACCUUUUAUCUCAGAUGAGUGUGUGUGUGUGUGUGUGUCUGUGUCUGUGUCUGUGUCUG